UCUUCCCAGGCCCACCACUUUCAUCGAGUGAGCAUUCGUCUUCUGGUUACGGGGCCAUAGCUCAGCUGGGAGAGCGCGUGCUUUGCAAGCAUGAGGUCGUCGGUUCGAUCCCGUCUGGCUCCACCAGAUGGUUUGAUCACCGAGAUCUUGUACCGUCGUCCGCGAAACAUCACUUCGCAUCCUGCUAGUCUGGAUAGACAGCAAGAUGCGUGUUUUCUGACAUCGUAAAGAGGAGAUCGAUCCGAGUUGGGUCGUGCAGCGGAUUGUUGCGCGAAUCCUUCAUUAUCUCCGGAUCAUUUUCGGCGCUCGCUUUCAGCCGUGAGGUUGAAUGCGAGUUGUAAAAUGAUCCUUUUAGCGAAGCUUGACCGCCUCGCUAUCGGAACGAUCUUACGAAGCAAGCUGGUCUUUCUAGUCAAUGUCCGGCUGUGCGUAGCGUUCAUCGAGGGCGCGUGCCGUAAGGCAAUCGUACAGACAACAUUCUGCCGAGUGUGUGGACAUUGAUAAUGAGAGCAAUCAAGUGCCUUAAGGGUGUUCGGUGGAUGCCUUGGCGCUGAGAGGCGAUGAAGGACGUGCUACGCUGCGAUAAGCCGUGGGGAGCUGCGAAGAAGCUUUGAUCCGCGGAUUUCCGA
rnacentral:misc_RNA from 1 species